rnacentral:rRNA from 1 species
CCUACGGGAGGCAGCAGUGGGGAAUAUUGCACAAUGGGCGAAAGCCUGAUGCAGCAACGCCGCGUGAGCGAUGAAGGCCUUCGGGUCGUAAAGCUCUGUCUUCACUGACGAUAAUGACGGUAAGCGAGGAGGAAGCCACGGCUAACUACGUGCCAGCAGCCGCGGUAAU